CCCCAAUUCUGAGGGGCGCAACAUCAUGGCCUGGAGGAACGAGGUUAGCGAUAAUGCUGUUACCAACACUAGCCGCGAAGCAGCGAAGUUGGAUGAAACCCCAUCACAGCGCAGAGAAUCUGGAACCCAGAAUGCGAAAAACCCAAAAACUCCUGCCAAAAAGGAGUUCUGCUCUUUCUGGAUUCGUCGGGGGGAGUGUGACUAUUCGCAGCAGGGAUGUCUUUUCAAACACGAAAUGCC
rnacentral:sRNA from 1 species